UGCCUUCUUUAGUUAUUUAUUUAUUUUUAAAAUGCUCUCAAGUGGAAGUGUGGAACGUAUUCUUUCAAGUAUUUCAAGAAAUUAGAAAAUUUGUAAAAAUUAGGGGUGCACGUUAAAACCGCCCAAACUGCCAAAGCCAUUCGAACCGCCUGAAACCGACGACGGUUCAAUCCUUGCGAUCUGCAGCGGGUUGAUGGCCGGAGAAACCGACGACAAUCGGCCGUUAGCGGUUCCAUUAAAAAGUAUUCCGAGUGAACCAAAAGCUAAAAUUGAGGAAUUAGAAAGAUGAGAGGAAGAAUGGUAAAGAUAAAUUGUUUAUUUUUCUUUCUAAUUUUAAAAUUACCUUUACCUUUACACACAGGAUAUUUACAACAAUUACCAAUGCAUGUGUUAGUCCAUUGAUGAAAACAAACCAACUUCUUUGAAAUCUGAAAAAAUAAUAUAUAUUAUUUUUACAAAUUAAAUUGUUAACUACACUUACAAUAUUUUUUCUCGAGCCUAGUGCCAACUUUUAAAUUUACUUGUGUCAGUCAUUGAUGUGAUUUUCGUUGAAAUUUGAACAAAAUAAUAAAUGUUAUUUUUGCAAAAUAAAAAAUAAACACACAGCCACACUAUUUAUUUGAGGAACCAGAAACCGAAAUGACCAGACUGUUAGUUUAGGCGGUUUGAGAUACUAACGGUUCUACAUCAUUUUCUUUUCCUUGUCUAUUGUCUAUUCAACUCCAGUUUUGCACAAUAACCGAGCCGAACUAAACCGCUUGCAACCCUAUCAAUGCUUUUAAUUAACUAAAACAACUUCAGCCCUAGUCCAUUGCCAGCACAAAAUCAGGCACUUCCAUGUCAUAACGUCUGUCAAGAGAAAAGCCAACCUUAAUAAGAGGAUUGGAAACCCUCUAGAACCUUCACACAUUUCUACACUUGUCCAAGCUUACCAGACUUUCCUAGAUUUCUCUACAAUUUACAGGGUGUGACCCUCUCAUCUCUGGUGACAUGCUAGGCUAGUAGGCUUCACUUAGUGUUAAACUUGCCAAGAUUUCUCUACAACUGUCGUGGUGCAUCUUGUUAUCUUUAAUUAUAAACAAAGUUUUCCAUAGGAUUGAACUUGUCUGUGAACUUGUAUUCCAUAAUAGUCUCUAUACAUAUCUCACAGGCAUGAAGUUUGGGUUGAGGAUGCUAACGCUUGGGGAUUUGUGCAAUCGUCGUACUCUUAUUGAUUUAAAGGUUCUUGAAUGGGCAGCCUUGUUGCGGCUUUUAUAUUUGGUCCGCUUUCGAGCUGCUACUGAUUCAUGGAUUUGGACUAUUGAUUCAUCUCCAUCUUUCUCUGUUAAAUCUCUUAUGGAUAGUUUGGUGAGCUUUGAUUAUAAAAACACUGUGGAUGUUUAUUCGGCUAUUCGGUUGGAUCAAUUUCCCAAGAAAAUUAAAAUUUUAGCUUAGCCUUAGUGCGACUAAUACUGCCGAUCACCUUCAACGUCGUAUGCCCUAUAUGGUCCUUUCUCCUUCUUGGUGUCACAUGUGUCACUCUCAUUCAGCAUCUGCUGCUCAUCUGUUCAUUCAUUGCUCGAGCAUUGCGUUUUUUGGCAUCAUAUUCCGCAAGGUUUUGGCUGGUCAUUGUUUUUUUUCUCAGAAUAUGUUUGAUAAUUUGUGUUCUUUGUUGGUUGGUCACCCUUUUCACGGCCGUAAGAGAACACUCUGGCUGGCUAUCAUUUGUACUUUUUUAUGGAUUCUUUGGGGGAGAAUGCAACAAACGCCUCUUUCGAGACCAGUUUUCCAGUUUUGAGUAAUUUGUGGACUAGGUUAUCUUUGCUGCUUUGUGGUGCCAAUAUAAGCACCCUUUUAAGCUUUUAAGUCUUUCUCUUUCUCAUCUUGUCUCUCAUUGACGUUAUUUUCUGUAAUCACCUUUGGGUGUUUGGGCCCUGGCCUUUAUUUCAUUGAUAUUUUAUCAAUGGAAUGUUUCUAUUAAAAAAAAACACAAGCAAGAAGUGAGAAAGAUCUUGAAGGAGAUCCCAAUAACUGGAUGAGAACGAUCCUAAUCAUCCAUUAAAGAGAUGGAAGCCUAAAGAAAUGUGGAACCCCCCUCCCAUAAUCGUAGCCCACACACACACACACAAAACCCGACAAUCAAGCACCUAAAAACUCAAGUAGCCAGAAAUGAAUCUUCCAAAAGCCAACCUAACUCUUAAGAACUUUAUCACUUGGGCAGCAAAAAGAAAAAUCUUUGCCUCCAACACUAUCUCUUGCUUAUUGAUCUAACCUGACCUGAGUACUCUUUCACACGUCCCUUCAAGGCUUAACUUAAGAACUUUUUGCCCCAAGACUCUGAAGCUCGCCCCACCACACUGAUCACAGCAGCUUAAGGUGACGCAGCAGCUUGGUGUUCUUCAAAUGCAGAAUUCAAAGAUUACUCCAUUCAAGACAUCUGCCUCAAUUGUAUCGCCUUCAUCUGAUGAGAUUCAAUGUAGUUUCCCUUGAUUGCCAGUUCAAAAUUAGUGCUUCUGGAGUUUGGGCGGGUUUUAUAUGUAUCUCUGCCAUUAUGUUUUUACUUUUCAGCCUUGCUUUUGUCUACCUUAGGUAGCUUCUGUUGUUAUUUUGGUUGUUACUUUAGUCUGACCUUAGUAUUGUUCUUGUACUUUGAUCUUUUCUUUGUAUUUUGGAUACGACGAGGGUGUCAACCUAGUGCACCUACUGAUCCUAUCUCUCUCCCUCCCUCCUUUCUUGGCUUCCCUAUUAUUCUCAUAGCUCUCUUAUACAUUGAGUUUAUUAGAUAAUGAAGCUUGUCUCCUAAAAAAAAUGGUGAAAUUUCUAUUCUAAAGUGACUAGGAGAGAAAUUAACAGGAAAAGGCACCUUGUUGUUUUGUAAAAAUUGUCAUAACCUGAAGUCCCACUGAAACAAGUAUACAGCUUAAGCACCCUUAUUACUGAGCAGUACAAGAAGCAAGAUUCAAAGCAGAAGGAAAAAUGAAAACCUGAAGAACUCCAACAAGAGGUGAGGAUGGCACAUCUCCAAAGAUGUGGAUUGCGACAGUAGACAUAGCCAUAGAUAAUGGCCGCAGACUUGGUUUAACGGCCUCCAGAUUGAUAUAAUUUACAGGACCCUGAAAAGUGUAAAAACUUGUGACAACUCCACAUAACGGGGUGAAAAAGUGUAAAAAUAGAUGUAACAAAUAAGUCAUACUCAACCAUAAGAAAGACAUGAUUAAAAAAGGAACUUCCAUUGUUAAUAAACUAAUAAGGAAUAUUUUCAUUUAAGGUCCAUUGUUAAAGAAUGUGAUUUAAUAUUGGUGUGAAGUUGUUCAGGAUUUUGCAAGACAUCUGUUUCCUUGAAGAUUAGCUCAUGAAUCCUCUUCAAGCCCUGUUCUGUUCCACUUGACGGUCAAGUGUUUUUCGCUCCAUAGUUUUUGAAGUUGAAAGUUUGUUUUUGUCUUGAUUAUGGGUUGUUAUUGUACUCUUGUUGAAUUUGUUGGCUGUUUGGGCUCGGAUUUUGUUUUUACAUUUUUGGUGUAGUCGUUUUUGUUUCCGAAUUCGGAGUCAUUAUUAUGGUUUGUAGAGGUCUUGUUGUUGUCUCAUUGUAAUCGUCCUUUCAUUUUCAGUUCAUCAAUGAAAAAUCUUUUUCCUUUUAAAGAAAAGGCACUUCCAUUCAUCCCUGAACUAGAAAUUUAACGAAGGUAAAGAAUAACAAAAUAAGGUGGCUCAACAGGAAAAGAACUUCCAUGUCCUCCUUUCCAAUAGAUUUCACAUUUC
rnacentral:lncRNA from 1 species